rnacentral:rRNA from 1 species
UAGGGAAUAUUCCACAAUGAGCGGAAGCUUGAUGGAGCGACACAGCGUGCACGAUGAAGGUCUUAUGGAUUGUAAAGUGCUGUUGCAAGGGAAGAAAAAGUAGUUGAGGAAAUGCUUCUACAUUGACGGUACCUUGUUAGAAAGCGAUGGCUAACUAUGUGCCAGCAGCCGCGGUAAUACAUAGGUCGCAAGCGUUAUCCGGAAUUAUUGGGCGUAAAGCGUUCGUAGGCUGUUUAUUAAGUCUGGAGUCAAAUCCCAGGGCUCAACCCUGGCUCGCUUUGGAUACUGGUAAACUAGAGUUGGAUAGAGGUAAGCGGAAUUCCAUGUGAAGCGGUGAAACGCGUAGAUAUAUGGAAGAACACCAAAGGCGAAGGCAGCUUACUGGGUUUAUACUGACGCUGAGGAACGAAAGCGUGGGGAGCAAACAGGAUUAGAUACCCUGGUAGUCCACGCCGUAACGAUGAUCAUUAGUCGGCAGAGAACUGUUGACGCAGCUAACGCAUUAAAUGAUCCGCCUGAGUAGUAUGCUCGCAAGAGUA